rnacentral:rRNA from 1 species
UACGGGAGGCAGCAGUGGGGAAUAUUGCACAAUGGGCGAAAGCCUGAUGCAGCGACGCCGCGUGAGGGAUGACGGCCUUCGGGUUGUAAACCUCUUUCAGCAGGGAAGAAGCGCAAGUGACGGUACCUGCAGAAGAAGCACCGGCUAACUACGUGCCAGCAGCCGCGGUAAUACGUAGGGUGCGAGCGUUGUCCGGAAUUAUUGGGCGUAAAGAGCUCGUAGGCGGCCUGUCGCGUCGGAUGUGAAAGCCCGGGGCUUAACCCCGGGUCUGCAUUCGAUACGGGCAGGCUAGAGUGUGGUAGGGGAGAUCGGAAUUCCUGGUGUAGCGGUGAAAUGCGCAGAUAUCAGGAGGAACACCGGUGGCGAAGGCGGAUCUCUGGGCCAUUACUGACGCUGAGGAGCGAAAGCGUGGGGAGCGAACAGGAUUAGAUACCCUGGUAGUCCACGCCGUAAACGUUGGGAACUAGGUGUUGGCGACAUUCCACGUCGUCGGUGCCGCAGCUAACGCAUUAAGUUCCCCGCCUGGGGAGUACGGCCGCAAGGCUAAAACUCAAAGGAAUUGACGGGGGCCCGCACAAGCAGCGGAGCAUGUGGCUUAAUUCGACGCAACGCGAAGAACCUUACCAAGGCUUGACAUAUGCCGGAAACGGCCAGAGAUGGUCGCCCCCUUGUGGUCGGUAUACAGGUGGUGCAUGGU